rnacentral:misc_RNA from 1 species
AAGUCGUAACAAGGUCUCCGUUGGUGAACCAGCGGAGGGAUCAUUACUGAGUUAUCCAAAAACUCCCAACCCUAUGUGAACUUACCACUGUUGCCUCGGCGAGCUGCGCUAUCCUGUAGCUACUUUUGUAGCGACCUGGGAGCGCGUUAUAGGCUCGCCAGAGGACCACUAAGCUCUGUUUUAUUUUGUAUCUCUGAAUCUUACAACUGAAAUCAGUUAAAACUUUCAACAACGGAUCUCUUGGUUCUG